rnacentral:rRNA from 1 species
GACGAACGCGUGGCGGCGUGCCUAACACAUGCAAGUCGAACGGAGUGGAUGGAUUUCGGGUUAUCACUUAGUGGCGAACGGGUGAGUAACGCGUGAGAAACCUGCCUUUCAGUGGGGGACAACAGUUGGAAACGACUGCUAAUACCGCAUAAUGUUAUUUGGGGGCAUCCCUGAAUAACCAAAGCUUAAUGUGCUGAAAGAUGGUCUCGCGUCUGAUUAGCUGGUUGGUGAGGUAACGGCUCACCAAGGCGACGAUCAGUAGCCGGUCUGAGAGGAUGAACGGCCACAUUGGGACUGAGAUACGGCCCAG